GACAGAGGGUGCAAACGUUGUUCGGAAUUACUGGGCGUAAAGCGUGCGCAGGCGGUUUUGUAAGCCAGAUGUGAAAUCCCCGGGCUCAACCUGGGAAUGGCAUUUGGGACUGCAAGGCUGGAGUGCGGCAGAGGAGACUGGAAUUCCUGGUGUAGCAGUGAAAUGCGUAGAUAUCAGGAGGAAUACCGAUGGCGAAGGCAGGUCUCUGGGCUGACACUGACGCUCAUGCACGAAAGCGUGGGGAGCAAACAGG
rnacentral:rRNA from 1 species